rnacentral:scRNA from 1 species
GGCCGGGCGCGGUGGCUCACGCCUGUAAUCCCAGCUCUCAGGGAGGCAAGAGGCGGGAGGAUAGCUUGAGCCCAGGAGUUCGAGACCUGCCUGGGCAAUAUAGCGAGACCCCGUUCUCCAGAAAAAGGAAAAAAAAAAAAAAAGACAAAAAAAAAAUAAGCGUAACUUCCCUCAAAGCAACAACCCCCCCCCCCCUUU